GGGGAAUCUUAGACAAUGGGGGAAACCCUGAUCUAGCCAUGCCGCGUGAGCGAUGAAGGCCUUAGGGUUGUAAAGCUCUUUCAGCUGGGAAGAUAAUGACGGUACCAGCAGAAGAAGCCCCGGCUAACUCCGUGCCAGCAGCCGCGGUAAUACGGAGGGGGCUAGCGUUGUUCGGAAUUACUGGGCGUAAAGCGCACGUAGGCGGACUGGAAAGUUGGGGGUGAAAUCCCGGGGCUCAACCCCGGAACUGCCUCCAAAACUAUCAGUCUAGAGGUCGAGAGAGGUGAGUGGAAUUCCGAGUGUAGAGGUGAAAUUCGUAGAUAUUCGGAGGAACACCAGUGGCGAAGGCGGCUCACUGGCUCGAUACUGACGCUGAGGUGCGAAAGCGUGGGGAGCAAAC
rnacentral:rRNA from 1 species